rnacentral:misc_RNA from 1 species
UACGAAGGUCCCGAGCGUUGUUCGGAAUCACUGGGCGUAAAGGGAGCGUAGGCGGCGCGGUAAGUCGGAUGUGAAAUCCCGGGGCUCAACCCCGGAACUGCAUCUGAUACUGCCGUGCUAGAGUAAUGGAGAGGUAGCUGGAAUUAUCGGUGUAGCAGUGAAAUGCGUAGAUAUCGAUAGGAACACUCGUGGCGAAAGCGAGCUACUGGACAAUUUCUGACGCUGAGGCUCGAAGGCUAGGGUAGCGAAAGGG